AAUCAAGAGGAGAAGAAAGAAAAUGAAGGAAGCAAGAAUGAAGAGAAGAACAAAGAAGAAAAAAAUGAGAACAAGAAAGGGUAAUCAUUUUGUAAACUUUAAAACAAAUGUUGGUUAUGGUUUAGUUAAAUUUUAAUUUAGAACUUGGUAAUAAUAAAUUUUGGUUUGAUUUGGUUAUGGUUUUUGUUAUCAAUAAAUUUUGGUUUGAUUUAGUUAUGGUUUUUGUUAUCUAUGUGAUAUUUUUUAAUUGAAUUAAGUAGGAAACAAGGAGAAGAAAAAGGAGAAGAAAAGACACGGAAAAAAAGAGGAAAGGAUAAGCUUCCAAUGUACUUGCGUUCACCUUUCAUGGUUGAACAUGAAAAACUUUUCAAGAAUGUGGACAAUAGAAAGGUAGCUGAGUAUGCGUUUGCUCAAGGAGAUAAUAAGGAGCUUUUGUAUGCUGAUAACAUGGGGACAACGAUUACGAGAGAUGAGAUUCAUAGUCUCAUAGAAGAUAAGCACAUGUUGAACAAUGUUGUGGAUGCUUAUGUUUGCCUAUUGAAUUUUGAAAAUAAAAGACGUGGUGUAGACAAGAAGAGUAUAUUCUUUUUCACUACUGAAUGCUAUGUAUGUUUUUGAACUUAAAAUUAUAACUAUGUUCUAAGAGUAGAUUCUUUUUGUUUCUCAUAUAGAUUAUACUAUGCACCUAUGUUCUAAUUACUUAUGUUUUAAUUUCUUUUUCUUUUUCAGCUCAUACGUUGUACAGAAAAAUACUUCAAAUCAAAUGAAAGGCAAGAUGAUAGAAUGAAGGCUUUGUUUGAUAGAAUGCAACAAGAAAUGACAACGACCGAAGUAACAAGCUUCAAAAGCAUUCAAUUGGUUUUCUUCCCGGUCGUUUUACCAGAUCACUACUAUUUGCUGUGUGUCAACUUUGUGGAAGGAACAUUUGAUUUGAUUGA